UCUGUAUGUAGGCUUCAUUCCAGCGCUCCAAUAGUCAUGACAAAGUAAGGAGAAUAGUUGCAGAGGAGGGUCGAACUGCAAGAAACCUGAUAGCUUGGAGUGUCCCUCUAGAAAGCAAAGAUGAUGAUGGAAAAUCUAAAUGUCAAACUGGUGGAAAAUCAAAGAGGACAAUUCAAGGAACUCAUAAAAAUACUAAACAGUUAUUUUAGACAAAAACGAAGUGUUUGCCACCCACUGACCCUUAAUGAAGGAACUACUAAAGUUGAACUUCAGCAAGAAUUAAAG